rnacentral:rRNA from 1 species
GACGGGGGAUGCGAGCGUUAUCCGGAAUGAUUGGGCGUAAAGGGUCCGCAGGUGGCCCGGUCAGUCCGCUGUCAAAGCCUGGGGCUCAACCCUGGAGAGGCGGCGGAGACCACCGGGCUUGAGUCCGGUAGGGGCAGAGGGAAUUCCCGGUGGAGCGGUGAAAUGCGUAGAGAUCGGGAGGAACACCAGUGGCGAAGGCGACUUCCUGGCCUGUUCUUGACGCUGAGGCGCGAAAGCUAGGGUAGCAAACGGG